rnacentral:rRNA from 1 species
CAGCAGCCGCGGUAAUACAGAGGGUGCAAGCGUUAAUCGGAAUUACUGGGCGUAAAGCGCGCGUAGGUGGUUUGUUAAGUUGGAUGUGAAAGCCCCGGGCUUAACCUGGGAACUGCAUCCAAAACUGGCAAGCUAGAGUACGGUAGAGGGUGGUGGAAUUUCCUGUGUAGCGGUGAAAUGCGUAGAUAUAGGAAGGAACACCAGUGGCGAAGGCGACCACCUGGACUGAUACUGACACUGAGGUGCGAAAGCGUGGGGAGCAAACAGGAUUAGAUACCCCUGUAGUCCCUGUCUCUUAUAC